UGUGCACAUUGAAUGACAGGUGAGGAUGGCUCAUCUCUGGUCAAUAAGCAACAUCUCUGGAUGUUAACCAGCAAAAAGUGCUUCUAACAGCUCAGAAAUCCAACAUGUUUACUGCUAUGUCUACAUCACCUGGGCUAGCAUGGAAAAAUAUUAGGAAGGGUACAGGGGGCACAACUUCUAAUGAUGAUAUGCUGGCUGAUCUACUGUUGUGGCAAGCAUGAAGAGACUAAUAUAGAGGUACUCUUUUGAGUCCUGCCGCUUUCAAAGAAAAAUUGUAGCAAUUGUAUACAAUAAGACAAAUCCAUGGAGGGGACAAAUUCAAUUUUUCAAGGAAAUAGGACUCAUCAAAUAUUAUUUCUGCCUGCUGCCUUGUAAAAAAAAACCAAC